rnacentral:rRNA from 1 species
UACGUAGGGGCCUAGCGUUGUCCGGAAUUAUUGGGCGUAAAGAGCUCGUAGGCGGUUCGGCAAGUCGGAUGUGAAAUCUCCACGCUUAACGUGGAGGGGCCAUUCGAAACUGCUGUGACUCGAGUCCGGUAGGGGAGUGUGGAAUUCCCGGUGUAGCGGUGAAAUGCGCAGAUAUCGGGAGGAACACCAGUAGCAAAGGCGGCACUCUGGGCCGGUACUGACGCUGAGGAGCGAAAGCGUGGGGAGCGAACAGG